UACGUAGGGUGCAAGCGUUGUCCGGAGUGACUGGGCGUAAAGGGCGUGUAGGUGGUGUGGUAAGUCUCUUUUGAAAUCCCAUGGCUCAACCAUGGUUUGGGAGGAGAAACUAUCACGCUAGACGGCACAAGGGGCUGACAGAAUUCCUGGUGAAGGGGUAAAAUCCGUUGAUAUCAGGAGGAAUACCAGUGGCGAAGGCGGUCAGCUAGUGUGCUCGUGACACUGAGGCGCGAAAGUCUGGGGAGCGAAAGGG
rnacentral:rRNA from 1 species